GGGGAUAUAGCUCAUUUGGUAGAGUGCUUGCCUAGCAUGUACAAGGCCCUGGGUUCAAUCCCUAGUAGCACCA
rnacentral:tRNA from 1 species